AGUGAACGCUGGCGGUAGGCCUAACACAUGCCAGUCGAACGGCAGCACAGUAAGAGCUUGCUCUUACGGGUGGCGAGUGGCGGACGGGUGAGGAAUACAUCGGAAUCUACUUUUUCGUGGGGGAUAACGUAGGGAAACUUACGCUAAUACCGCAUACGACCUACGGGUGAAAGCAGGGGAUCUUCGGACCUUGCGCGAUUGAAUGAGCCGAUGCCGGAUUAGCUAGUUGGCGGGGUAAAGGCCCACCAAGGCGACGAUCCGUAGCUGGUCUGAGAGGAUGAUCAGCCACACUGGAACUGAGACACGGUCCAGACUCCUACGGGGGGCAGCAGUGGGGAAUAUUGGACAAUGGGCGCAAGCCUGAUCCAGCCAUACCGCGUGGGUGAAGAAGGCCUUCGGGUUGUAAAGCCCUUUUGUUGGGAAAGAAAAGCAGCAGGUUAAUACCCCGCUGUUCUGACGGUACCCAAAGAAUAAGCACCGGCUAUCUUCGUG
rnacentral:rRNA from 1 species